rnacentral:sRNA from 1 species
AGCUCUUUAUAUUAAAGAGUCGCAGCAUUAACACUGGUACCUCAAGGUUGAGGUCUCUCCACCAAGGGCAACUCUGUUCCAGUCACCCAGGCUAAUACCCAGCCCAAACCGCUGCCACUGGUCAAGUUCAGUCCAGCACAGACCCUUGAGUCACCGGUGGUCAGUCAGAUGACCUUGGCUCCUGCGCGGGCCUGUGUUUCCGGAGCUUCACCGCAGCACUGCUGGCCCGGCGCUGUGAAUGCGGGCUCGUGAGCGCGCACUGCCCCACCAGCCCACAGCGCCCGCCCGUGGGCCGCGUUCGCUCAGGGUGCGCUCGGGCCAGUCCCGCCUCUCCUAGUUUUCGCUUUCGCUUUUUAUAGCUUCUCUGAAGAGAAACAAAGCGGCAGCUACGACGGCUACGACGGCCACGACCGGUAAUGGUGUUGGAGGGAAGGACAGGGGAACUCCGCAGCCUGGACCCCAGGCCCACAGGAGAGGUGGCAGCAUGCCCCGGCCCUCCUGCUGAUGUCAGGAGGCUGGACAGCCAAGAAGGAAGAAAAUGGACUCCCUCCUUCUGAAGACUCGCCAGCUGCCAGUGAGUGUGAGCUUUUGCAGGCUCCUGCAGUAGAUGUUAGGUGUUGAUACGAACCACACGUGUUCAAUGUUCGGGUUGUUUGUUGAUAUUCACAAUUUAUCUAAUAAAACCAUAAUCUGUGAAAA